rnacentral:pre_miRNA from 3 species
CGCUCAGUAGUCAGUGUAGAUUCUGUCUUUACAAUCAGCAGCUACAUCUGGCUACUGGGUCUC